UGAGAAGUCAGGGCCAUUGCCCGUUGACUUCUGAAGAGAUUAGAUUAUUGCUCGCAGCUUUAGGUUUCAGCACUAGUACUUGGCUCUAUCUUGCUUCACACAAGUUUAGUCUUGUACCUUCAAAAAUUAGGAAGUUUUACGUAAUCUUUUGGUGCUAAUAAGUUGGACAUUCAUGUGGUCGAUCACAUUCCUUGGGGAAACAGAUCUUUUAUUUCCUAUGAGAAUUUGACAGUAGAAGAAAUUUUCUUUUCAGGUUUA
rnacentral:misc_RNA from 1 species